rnacentral:rRNA from 1 species
CGUAGGGUGCGAGCGUUAAUCGGAAUUACUGGGCGUAAAGCGUGCGCAGGCGGUUUUGUAAGACAGGCGUGAAAUCCCCGGGCUCAACCUGGGAACUGCGCUUGUGACUGCAAGGCUAGAGUACGGCAGAGGGGGGUGGAAUUCCACGUGUAGCAGUGAAAUGCGUAGAGAUGUGGAGGAACACCAAUGGCGAAGGCAGCCCCCUGGGUCGAUACUGACGCCCAUGCACGAAAGCGUGGGUAGCAAACAGGAUUAGAUACCCUGGUAGUCCACGCCCUAAACGAUGUCAACUAGGUGUUGGGUGGGUAAAACCAUUUAGUACCGGAGCUAACGCGUGAAGUUGACCGCCUGGGGAGUACGGCCGCAAGGUUA